GAUGAACGCUGGCGGCGUGCCUAAUACAUGCAAGUCGAGCGAACAGACGAGGAGCUUGCUCCUCUGACGUUAGCGGCGGACGGGUGAGUAACACGUGGAUAACCUAUCUAUAAGACUGGGAUAACUUCGGGAAACCGGAGCUAAUACCGGAUAAUAUAUUGAACCGCAUGGUUUAAUAGUGAAAGACGGUUUUGCUGUCACUUAUAGAUGGAUUCGCGCCGCAUUAGCUAGUUGGUAAGGUAACGGCUUACCAAGGCAACGAUGCGUAGCCGACCUGAGAGGGUGAUCGGCCACACUGGAACUGAGACACGGUCCAGACUCCUACGGGAGGCAGCAGUAGGGAAUCUUCCGCAAUGGGCGAAAGCCUGACGGAGCAACGCCGCGUGAGUGAUGAAGGUCUUCGGAUCGUAAAACUCUGUUAUUAGGGAAGAACAAAUGUGUAAGUAACUAUGCGCGUCUUGACGGUACCUAAUCAGAAAGCCACGGCUAACUACGUG
rnacentral:rRNA from 1 species